AUAUGCUAGGAAGAAGUCUGUCCUUUUCUAUACAUCAUAGUAACCAGCGUGUUUGCAUAAAUCCCACACGUUUCGAACGGCGAUGGAAAAUGACAGGUGGCAUGAGCGAUCGACGAGAAAAGAACCAGGAGAAAGAGAGAACGAGAAGGAGAAUGGCGUGCGCGAUGCAGUCAAGGGAGACUCGGCGCGCGAGUAAUUCGUGUAAUUGCCGGACAAUUACAUUAUCUAAUUAACCUCGGAGGGCGAAUCAGCCGGUCGCCGAGCCGAGUUCGUGAUUGUCCCUUGUGGCGCAACCGUAAUUGUUAUUGUUUAACAUGCUCGGGAUUGUCGCCGUUCCUGAUCGAGGUUCUUGGAAAUUGUACUACGAUCAAUCCCUAACUAAGAAAUUUCUGCUUAAAAAACUAUUCUCGAUUAUCGUUCUGUAGUUUCCUUUUACAUUAAAGGAUUCUAUUUAUA